CGCACAUUGCGCCCCUUGGUAUUCCGAGGGGCAUGCCUGUUCGAGCGUCAUUAUCACCCCUCAAGCCCCGUGCUUGGUGUUGGACGGCCGGUCGAGCGAAUCGACCCCUCCGAAAGACAAUGACGGCGGCCUGUGGUUCCCCCGGUACACUGAGCUUUUUACGGAGCACGUACCGGACAAAGGGCGCCCGGGACCCGGUCCUCUCCUUUCACUAGGAAACUUUUCAAGGUUGACCUCGGAUCAGGUAGGAAUACGCGCUGAACUUAA
rnacentral:misc_RNA from 1 species